rnacentral:rRNA from 1 species
CCUACGGGUGGCAGCAGUGGGGAAUAUUGGGCAAUGGGCGCAAGCCUGACCCAGCAACGCCGCGUGAAGGAAGAAGGCUUUCGGGUUGUAAACUUCUUUUCUCAGGGACGAAGAAAGUGACGGUACCUGAGGAAUAAGCCACGGCUAACUACGGGCCAGCAGCCGCGGUAAUACGUAGGGGGCAAGCGUUAUCCGGAUUUACUGGGUGUAAAGGGCGUGUAGGCGGGGAGGCAAGUCAGAUGUGAAAACCACGGGCUCAACCUGGGGACUGCAUUUGAAACUGGGUUUCUUGAGUACUGGAGAGGCAGGCGGAAUUCCUGGUGUAGCGGUGAAAUGCGUAGAUAUCAGGAGGAACACCAGUGGCGAAGGCGGUCUGCUGGACAGUAACUGACGCUGAGGCGCGAAAGCGUGGGGAGCAAACAGGAUUAGAUACCCUUGUAGUC